UACGUAGGUGGCGAGCGUUGUCCGGAUUUACUGGGCGUAAAGAGCGCGCAGGCGGCUGGUCAAGUCCGAUGUGAAAGCUCCCGGCUUAACUGGGAAAUUGCAUCGGAAACUGAUCGGCUGGAAGGUGGGAGAGGGUAGCGGAAUUCCCGGUGUAGUGGUGAAAUGCGUAGAUAUCGGGAGGAACACCAGAGGCGAAGGCGGCGACCUGGACAGUGACUGACACUCAACUGCGAAAGCGUGGGGAGCAAACAGG
rnacentral:rRNA from 1 species